GGCCUAUUUUUCAAGAUCUCACAAGGAUCACAGGACUUGUGUGUCAAGAAUCGGGAAUGUGCAGCCCAUGUCUUUAUUUUCCUUUAAUACAUCACUUUACCUCUCUAGACUUUAGCUUUUUAGGUGCAAAACGACAGAUUAGAUUUGUGUAAUCUCUAGGCCUCCAUCCAACUCUGACUAAAAAACUGAAAAUCUAGCAAUAUUUUGUAAAGUACAUAUCCAUUGAUUCAGCAAAUAUGCUUCUUGAAAUGUAUCUUAAAGAAACAUUUGCACAGGUAUACAAAGUAAUAAAUACAAGAACUUUUAAUCCAGCAUGGCUCAUCAUUGCAAAGAAUUAGAAACUAUUUAAAUAUUCAGUAAUAGGAAAAGAGUUAAAAAAUAAAUAACAGUUCUAUAUCCAAUACAAUGGAAUACUAUAGCACUCGCAGUAAUGCUAUAAUACUUCUAUAUACAUCGAUAUGAAAAAUGUCCAAGAUAUGGUGUUAAGUAAAAAGAACAAGCAGCAAAACAAUUUAUAUAGUGGGAGUUCUAUUUUUGUUUUAAUAACAACAAAUACAUGGUGAUAUAAGAAGAAGAAACAAUCCAUUAAAAUACAUCCUAAAAUCAAAGGGAAUUUUAAAUGUCUUCACCACAAAUAAUAAAUAUGUGAGGUGAUGGGUAUUUUAAGUAGAC
rnacentral:lncRNA from 1 species